CAAUUGCGAAGGCAGGUUACUAAGCAACAACUGACGNUGAUGGACGAAAGCGUGGGGAGCGAACAGGAUUAGAUACCCUGGUAGUCCACGCCGUAAACGAUGCUAACUCGUUUUUGGGUUUUCGGAUUCAGAGAUUAAGCGAAAGUGAUAAGUUAGCCACCUGGGGAGUACGUUCGCAAGAAUGAAACUCAAAGGAAUUGACGGGGGCCCGCACAAGCGGUGGAUUAUGUGGUUUAAUUCGAUGAUACGCGAGGAACCUUCCCAAGGCUUAAAUGGGAAAUGACCGGUUUAGAAAUAGACCUUUCGCAAGACAUUUUUCAAGGUGCUGCAUGGUUGUCGUCAGCUCGUGCCGUGAGGUGUUAGGUUAAGUCCUGCAACGAGCGCAACCCCUGUCACUAGUUGCCAUCAUUCAGUUGGGGACUCUAGUGAGACUGCGUACGCAAGUAGAGAGGAAGGUGGGGAUGACGUCAAAUCAUCACGGCCCUUACGCCUUGGGCCACACACGUAAUACAAUGGCCGGUACAGAGGGCAGCUACACAGCGAUGUGAUGCAAAUCCCGAAACCCGGUCUCAGUCCGGAUUGGAGUCUGCAACNCAGUC
rnacentral:rRNA from 1 species